AGGUAAGCCAAACCUGACCAAGCUUGCGCACCUUGACCUCUAUUGCUUUGCUUCUUCUGAAGGUUACCUGACAACAGAGAAGCCAGCUGUUAACGCGCUCACUACCGCUCUCUCUCUCCCUCCGGAUCAUCAUUUGAUCGUUUUUUGUGACUUUUUCAUGUCUGUAUUUGCUUCACGUUGAGCCUCACGUACAAUACCUGAAGAUGAAGUUUUGUUCGUUCGGCUCGCGUUAUGCAGGUACGGGUUGGCAACUGGAAAAGACACAACGUUUGUUUUUCUGUACUGGAGCGUCACUGUUGUUAACACUGUCAAGCCUCAGUUCAGACAAAUGAUGGAGUGUUGACUUUGGUUGGGUUUUUUUAAAAGAUCCUUCAGUGAAAUUUGUUUCAGGGGGCUUCAUGGGCGCCAGGUGGGUAAGGCCAGAUAUUGCUGCCACACUACUGCAGCACAAGUGAGCCAAAUUAUUGUAAUGAAAGUCAAACAAAAUCUUCAAAAAUGUAUAAGACAUUGCAUUGUACAGGACUAUUGCUCUAUUCAGGACGACUUGAUAACGACAUGGUUUCAGCAACUGAAGCACCAGGUGUAUAGAAUAUUUCACUGCCUAAUUUGCAUACAGCUGGCAACAGGCAAUGCUCUAAAGAAAGCCAUGUCAGCCUUGGACAACAUGUUGUCUACUUUAACUGCUGCAGUUACAACCACUUAUCCAAAGGUUAAUUGAGAAAAAAACUUAUGGAAAAGUAAUUUCUUGACUCAUUUGACUCAAUUAAAAAUUCUUUGUUACAUUUUCUGAAUAGGUGUCUGUGUCGAACAAAGAUAAGCAAAGGCAGGGUUUCAGCAGGUGAAUUCAGUUGAUCGAAUCAGUGAUUCAGGUUAUCAAGGCAGGAAGUUCAUAGAUCAAACGUUCCAGCUUAAAUCCAACAUGUAUUUUCCUGUUUUUACUGAAAAGGUAAAAGCAAGAUUAUGAACCCCAGAAAGACAUAAAUCCAUAUGCUCAUGUAAAAGCUGCUCGCCUUUAACAGACACACCUGUCUGUUCGGGUCAGUAAUGAUACUGCAAGUGAGACAGAGGCUCAGUGUCAAUACUGAUAAAUCUGUAACUGACAUUGGGAAAGUGUCCAUUUGAUGGUCAUUCACUCUUUAUUUUUUAGUCAGAUGUUGUCCUCGGGCCUGUUUGAAUUGCCCCUGGACGACAUCAUAGCAUAUGUCAUGAAAAGGUUGACAUGUACAAUGGUACGAAUGAUAAUCUCCUUAUCUCCCUUUGGUGCUUUUUUUAUAAUCAUUUUCCCAUUGGCACAUUCAUGAUGAUAGCAUGUAUUUUCCACUGGGGGCCUAUUCAUUACUGUCCAUCUCCUACGUCAUGAACUGAGGCUGCAGGCAAGCACCAGGGAGCAGAGAGAUGGGCUUAAUGGGAGGUUAUGAUAAUCAUUAACUAAACAUUAACCACCCACACACAAACCAUCUGAUAUGGGCCAUCUGUCAUUUGGAUGAUAUGAUGUAGCAUUCAGCCAUCACACUUUCACCAUUCAUUAUUGUUCCUUAUGUUUAAGAAUAUAUCUCCCUUUCAGUGCUUUAGCGUGUAGUUUAAAUAGAUGUUUUUUUAAGCCCAGCUCUCUGUAUUAAAUUGAUGAAGCCAGUGUUGCAACUAUACUAUUCCACCUUACUAAGGAGUAAACCGUCCUGUUAGAUUUCCAACUCAAAAGCAAUGCUGGAGCUGCACCUUUUUCAUCUAGUAGAAAAAUAACAAUUGCAUCCAGAGUAACAUACAGUGUCAAAACACACGAAUGCCAUAUAUAUAUAUAUAUAUAUAUAUAUAUAUAUAUAUAUAUAUAUAUAUAUAUAUAUAUAUAUAUAUAUAUAUAUAUAUAUAAUCCCUGACCAACUUAACCAUUAACUAAUUGUUUAUUGAAUUGUCUGCUUAAUCAAUUUAUAUUAAAGAAAAGAGGUUUAAACACAAGUGUUUUAAUUUAUGUACAUCUAAGCCAAGAAUGACAUGAGCAAAACUAAACCAUGCUCAAUUUUCUGUGCUUGCAAAUUAUAAAUCGCCAACGAUCACUUUGUCUGAAAAUCAAACACAUUAUGUCCUACAAAUUAAAAGUAAUUUUGAGUGGUGCCUCUGUGUCAUUAGGAUCUCUUUGUGACUGAUAAAAACUUGUUGUUGUCCUGCAGUGCAGCAUGUCUGCCUCCUCCAGUGAAAUCAUUAAAGCUCAAGCUGAAGUUUAAUGUGGGCCUAAAUAUCUUUAAUACCUUUGCUCCCUUCUGCAGAUUAUUCCCUUAACAUUGCUUUUGUCUCCCUGGUAAACCCCCGUCACUCUUUAUUAUCUCAAAGAAUCAUCUCAUGUAGGCCUGUCCUACAUGUCAUUCUUUACCUGAGAGCCUAGAAGCUCUAGUCAAUAUUUGUUUAAAGCCAGAUGAAGGGAAAGCUCACACUCCUCAGUAUCCUGGUUACCUUGCCCCCAUUUAAACUGACUGUCCCAACUGGUCCUGCUGCUGCUACACCCUUCCUACCAGCUCCAGGAGCCAUAUUAGCAUGCAGAUUAUUUGUUUAGGAUCCAACGUCAAGGCUUAGUGUGAGGAAAUGUGGUUCUAGUGCAGCAAACUGUUUUAAGAAUCAAAAUCAAGCGACAUCAUCUCAUGAAAUAUAUGAUGAUAUAUUCAGUGGAAGUUGAUAAAAAUCACCAUUUGGAACCAUGGAACAGGUGGGAAAUAUUACAUUGAAUGCUAUGUAGUAAUAUUUGUCUUCUUUAAAAGAGGCCUGACAAUCAACAGUUUUCAGAGUUUUCAAAGCAACAUGAGACAACUAAAGAACGUUCAAAGAGGCCAGAUAAUGUGUGGCAGUGCUCACAUUGUUGCUACAGUCCUUUUUAUGUACAUGACAAAUUUCACUGCAGAACCUAAACUCCUCAUCAUAUUGUUACUCUCAUUUUUUGAGGACACACAACAGGAAAGACCCUUGUAGUACAUGUUGGCGCAGAUGAGGUGAAAACAGGUUGAAUCCAGGAACAUGCACUAUAAAUAAAUUCAAUAGUUAUCCAUACUAGACCUUGGGAACUAACUCAUCAUUGCAAACAUGAGUCAUUUUCUGCCUGUUUGAAGUAAUUGGUUAGCUAUAUGUAAAGAGAGACACACAAAUGGUAUUAAAAUAUAGUAUACUAUUGAGUUUGGAAAAGAGGCAUAACAAAAAAACCUGAUGUUUUUAGCACAUAUUCUGCACAUAUCAUGUACUAGAGCACUGAAACCCUUUAUGUUAAGUACUCUUAACUUAAUAUUGUGAUUCUCUUUCUCCAUAUUAUAAUUCUACUACAGCUACAUCUUUUGCAUGCCUGUCUGCUCUGGACGAGUGAUUCCUCCUCUGUUGCUCCUCCUGAGGUUUCUUCCUUGUUUUCCUCUAUUAAAGAGUUUUUCUACCCAAAUCAAGAGCACAAUGACAGAAUGUGAUGUAUGUAUAAAAAGCCCUCUAAUACAAAUUUGUGAUUUGGAGCUAUAUAAAUAAAAGUGACUAAACUUGA